rnacentral:tRNA from 1 species
AUUCGUUGUAGCUCAGUGGCAGAGCGCACCGGUGUAUACUGGGAAAGGUCGUGAGUUCAAUUCUCAUCAGCGAUA